rnacentral:rRNA from 1 species
GAUGAACGCUGGCGGCGUGCUUAACACAUGCAAGUCGAACGAAGCACUUAUGACAGAUUCUUCGGAUGAUGGAUUAAAUGACUGAGUGGCGGACGGGUGAGUAACGCGUGGGUAACCUGCCUCAUACAGGGGGAUAACAGUUAGAAAUGACUGCUAAUACCGCAUAAGCGCACAGUACCGCAUGGUACGGUGGGAAAAACUCCGGUGGUAUGAGAUGGACCCGCGUCUGAUUAGCUAGUUGGUGGGGUAACGGCCUACCAAGGCGACGAUCAGUAGCCGGCCUGAGAGGGUGAACGGCCACAUUGGGACUGAGUCACGGCCCAAACUCCUACGGGAGGCAGCAGUGGAGAAUAUUGCACAAUGGGGGAAACCCUGAUGCAGCGACGCCGCGUGAGCGAUGAAGUAUUUCGGUAUGUAAAGCUCUAUCAGCAGGGAAGAAAAUGACGGUACCUGACUAAGAAGCACCGGCUAAAUACGUGCCAGCCGCCGCCGUAACAC